CUUUUUGUGGCGUAGUUGGUAGCGCCUCUACUUAGUAAUUAUAAGUCCCCGGUUCAAGUCCCGGUCGAUGUAAAAAUA